rnacentral:tRNA from 2 species
GCGGGAGUAGCACAGUGGCAGUGCAUCAGCCUUCCAAGCUGAGGACGCGGGUUCGAUUCCCGUCUCCCGCUCCA